rnacentral:tRNA from 1 species
CCCCAGCUGGCUCAGUCAGUAGAGCAUGUGAUUCUUGAUCUUGAGGUUGUGGGUUUGAGGCCCAUGUUGGGUG